GCAUGGCCGAGUGGUUUUGGGCUCUGGUCUUGUAAUCCGGAGGUCCACGGUUCAAGCACGCCAGUAGCAAGACU